UGCCCAGCAACUCCUAUCCCUACCUCCUCGUGGUACUGGCCGGGGUACGAGUAACCUUGGGGAAGAUCGGGUAACCAACCCCCGGUGGGAACUUUGGUCGUAUGCUGACUGGGAAGA
rnacentral:ribozyme from 1 species